UAAUAUUAUACUUAUUCGUAAUACAGCUCCGUUGUGACUAUUAUAUAUAUAUAUAUAUCCCUGGAUUAAGAUAUUUCUCGAAAUUUGAAGCACUUGCGGGGGUGCUAUAUAUGCGCGUAGAUGCAUUCCUCAGGUCACAAGAGCUAGAGCAAGUCAUUUCUUCCUGAACAUUCGCGCAAAGAGGAUGGCACCUUGAAAAAUCAAAGUUAAGUUAGAUGAAAAGAAGUGUGCAUUUUUCAAUUGUAACAAUGGAGUGCAUAAUGGACACAAAUUAUUUAGAUUCCCAUCAGAAAUUACCCGACAACAGAGGUGGAUAGAAUAUUCAGGAAACACCGAUUUACCACCUUUAUCCCCAAGCUAUGUGUAUAAGGCAGGUUUAUGCGGAAACCAUUUUUCAACCGACGCCUUUACAAAUUCACAAAAACAAAGAUUAUGCAUUGCUGUCAAUCCCAUAUCGUG